rnacentral:rRNA from 1 species
UACAGAGGGUGCAAGCGUUGUUCGGAAUUACUGGGCGUAAAGCGCGUGUAGGUGGCGAGAUAAGUCGGGUGUGAAAUCCCUUGGCUUAACCAAGGAAGUGCAUUCGAUACUGUUUCGCUUGAGUAUCGGAGGGGUCGGCGGAAUUCCCGGUGUAGAGGUGAAAUUCGUAGAUAUGGGGGAGGAACACCGGUGGCGAAGGCGGCCACCUGGACGGAUACUGACGGCUGAGACGCGAAAGCGUGGGGAGCAAACAGG